rnacentral:lncRNA from 1 species
UGGUUUCUUGGCUUAAUUCUUGAAGAUGACAGAGGAGAGAGACUGUGUUGUUGUUAGGAUUGAAAACUUGCUUCAUCAUUUGUCUACUUCUCUCACUCCCUCAAAGCCUAUCAUAGCUAAAGUAGAUCAACACCUGAGGCAAGUAAAUGAAAAGGAUUUUGAACCCGAAUUAGUCUCUAUAGGUCCAAUCCAUCGUGGGAAAGAUCGCGUUAAGGCCAUGGAGCAACACAAAGUGAGGUAUCUAAGCAAAUUGUUGGGAAGAAGAGAUGAGUUGAGCAUUGAGAAAUGUGUGUUGGAAGUGAGAAGCAUGGAGGAAAAGGCUCGCCUUUACUACGCGAAAUCAAUCAGUCUUGAUCAAGAUGAGUUCGUGGAGAUGUUGCUUCUUGAUGGAUGCUUUGUGAUUGAGCUGCUAAGAAGCUAUUGGUUUAGUGAUUUGAGAGACAAGAAUGAUCAAAUAUUUCAAUUUGAUCACAUGUUAGUCCAAAUAAGGCAUGAUCUUCUGUUGUUGGAGAACCAGCUCCCUUUCUUCGUGUUGAACGAGUUUUUCGACAUGACAAGGAUGGAACAUCCAGACGAUGACAUACACCAUCUCCUCCUCUUUCUAGCCGGAGACAUGUUCCCAUGGCCGGAUUCCUCAAUGCUCAACUCGAGUUCAGAUAUGUUACACAAUGCUGAGCAUCUAUUAGGCCUACUUUAUCAUUCUUCAUUCUCAUUCUCAUUCUCAUUCACUGAAAACAACGGUAGCAACACGUGCCUCGUGGAGCCAUGAAACUCCCACCAUUAUGCAUAUCUGAUAAAUUCUUCAUUCAUGCAUUACUAAUUUCAUAAUUUAUCUUUUAUUAUUAUUAUUAUUAUUAUUGACAAAACUGAAACAAAUAAAGUUUUUAGAUAUGAAAAAUAUAUUUUUCUUCCCUAUACAAAUAAAAUAUAUGGAUAUAUUUUAUAAAAAAUAAAAAUAAAAUUUUAAUUAUUUUGAUAGACAUAAAAUAAGAUUUUGUUUUAAAGUAAUCAGGUUAUAGAAUUUGUGCCUUAUUAUUCAAACAUGUAAAUCAAUGACAGAACCCGUUUAUAAUUUACAUACACGUGCAUGUCUCAAUUCAAAAUCAAUUUAAAAUUAAUUAUAUUGAAAAUUACAUAUAAUAUAUACGCUUUUGAGAAAUAUAAAAUUAAUAACAAAUAUACAUCUAAUACUAACAUUCAAUUAAAACCAUUAUUUUAUAAAUCAUAAGUCCCACGAAGCAGACAUGUAAAUCUAAUUUUUAUCGAGAUAAAAUAAAUAAUAAAAUUUAUUAAUUUAAAUUAUAUGUAAGUUAUUAUUAUUAUUAUUAUUAUUAUUAUUAUAUAGAUUAUAAUUUUAUUUAUUAUCAUACAUGUAAAUUAAUUUUUAUCUAGAUAAAAUAAAUAAUAAAAAUUUAUUAAUUUAGAUUAUAUGUAAGUUAAUAUUAUUAUAUAUAUAUAUAUACACACAUUUAUUACUAAUUAUAUUUAUUAAGAUUAAUGAAUCUUUAUAUGGAAUGUAAUAGUUAAUUAAUUAAUAAAUAAUGAAGAUUAUAUAUGACAAAUUAUUGAAAUGAAAUAAUUCUAAGCAUGUCACAUAGGUUAAGGCUUAAUUCUAUCAUAAAGAAGAUGGACCGGCACUAUUUACCGGUCUAGAUAAUCCGGUACAAAACUCGGUGGGUUUUUACCUUGGGACACGUGUUUUAAUCUGGGGCAACUCAGCAAAGACUUUUCCCCCAUUGUUGAACCUCCACCGCGGGGGGGCUUGGAAGUUGCGAAUGCCAUAAUCCAUGUGUUUGUCAGUCAGAGUUUGCCUCCAUAGUUGACUUGGAAAAUGAUGAAGUCUAUAUAAAACUCCUCAUGCUUCAGCGCUAUACAGCGCCUCAAAGCUUCAAACGUUCCUUUGUCUGAGCUCACAUUUCUCAUAGAUGGAAAAUUUCUUGGAAGUUAGCAAAGAUACAGCAAGCAUACCAAGACGAGAUCUAUGGUAAGAUUUUCUUCAUCAAUUUUAUAAACUGCAACUCCAAAUUUCUGUUUUAUCGGAUGAAAUUCACGAAUAUUGCUUUGAUUCUAGUUAAUACUCUCUCUCUCCCUCUCUCAGCCAUACACCCUCCAAUGUUUCCUACAGAUAAAAUCUGAUAGUGUCUCUAGGGAUGUCAAUCGGGCCAGUCCAUCAGGUUUUCGGGCUAGUCCUAUCGGGUUCCGGGUUAGUCGGGUGCGGGCUAAUCGGGUUGGAGAUUUUUUCGAUUGUAAAUCUUCAACCCUAACUCUAAACUUUCGGGUUUCGGGCUAGCCCAUCGGGCUAAUCAGGUUAAAGGCGUAAAAAUAAAAUUAUAAUUUGUAUUUUAUUAUUCCUAAUGAUCUAAUGUAUAAUGUAUAAAAUAUACAUAGAUAUUAAAUAUAUAAAUUAUAUAGCAAAGCAUGAAAUGCAAAAAUAUAAGAUAUUCAAGAUUACAUAAACAAAAUUAUAUUAAAAUGAGAUAGUAAAAUUUAACAUGUAUCAAUGCAUUAGAAUCAAUAUGGAUUAUUACUGAAUAAUUAGUGGAUUUGCCAUGCACGUCUCAUUGACAAGAAAAAAAAAUGGUAUCACUUUAAAAUGAGAUACUAAUAAUUAAUUUCUAACUAAUGAGAUACUAAUAAUCAAUUUCUACAAAAAAUCCGUAAUUAAUUUCACUUUUUUUAAUGAGAUUGCACACACACACACACACACACACACACACACACACACAUAUACUAACUAAUUAAUUACUUACUUUUAGUAGUAGACUAAUAUAUAUAGUUAAGCAAAUACCAUAGAUCUAAACAUAGCAGAAGUUGUAACUGGAUGCAUUAGUCACAAUUCCGUCACGCCCACCGGGCCAGCCCAUCGGGUUUUCGGGCUAGCCCUAGUCCGGGUUCGGGUUAGUCGGGUGCGGGCUAAUCGGGCUGGGUAGGUUUUUUCGGGUUGCGUAUUUUUCAACCCUAACCCUGUAAUUUUGUCGGGUUAUUCGGAUCGGCCCACGGGUUUCGGGCUGCAUUGACAUCCCUACGCGUGAGUAAAAAAAAUGAGUUUUUUCCUCUCUUUUCUCUCUCUCUUCUCCCGCCAAUUUUUCUCUUUCUUCUAUUUUUAUUUUAUUUUAAUUUUUUUUCUAAAUAUCAACAGAUUUGAUUUGUGAAAAAAUAUUCAAUAUUGAUCUUAAAUUUAAGUUCGUGACAAGAUUUUUAAUAUAGUAUAAAAAUUAUUCAAAAAGAUUCAAAACAAAAAAGUUAUCAAAAAACUAAAAUAUAAAAAUUCUAGAAUCUUGCUCCAGGAAUUGGUUAGGAGUUAAAAAGAGAAUCACCUGCUUUACCACUAUGUCUCCUGCUCCAACCUCAAUUCUUUGCAUGCNUUCAUUAUCGAAUAAUUUUUAAAUUUAUUUAAUAACUAUAAUUAUCAAUAUAUUUUGUAUUAGUUGAAAAUUUAUAUUUUUAAAUUCAAAAUUUUAUUGAGUAACUUAUGUGAAUUACUAUUAUAUUUUAUUUAUAAAACAUAUUUUGUAUUUAUUUAUAUUUUGAUUUUUUAUUUAUUUAAAUUUUCAUUUAAUUUCGAUAUCCAUCGUCGAUCAUACGUAUGGGCGUAUACUAGUUAUUAUUAAAUGAGAGGAUAUAGUGAAAAUUUUGGAAGCCAUGUUUAAAAUCACCCACCAAAAUAAUCGGCAACUCUUUUGUUUUCUUUUUGGGCUAUUUCCUUCUUCGUCUUUUGUUAUUUACAAUUAGCUUGGCUCAAACUAAUGAGUCCAAGUUCAAGCCCAACAUUCUUCUUUUGCUUGUGUUUUUAAUUAGUUGGGCUCAAACUAAUGAGGGCCCACAAACAGUAGACAUAUUAGCCCAAUUUAUAACCGGAACUCAUGCUGGCUGUGGGGGUUGUAAUCAACUCGAGCUAGCAAACUUAGGGCUGUUAAAUGGGCCGGAUCAGGUCAGCCUGGCCCAGACUCACUGAGCUAUCAACUUGUACCGGAUCAGCUUGACCCGGCCCGAAAUAUGAUUGGGUUGUAAAUCAUAACUAAAUUGGCCUAAUAUUUUUUUUUAUAUGAAAUGUUAAGACUUAUAAAUCUAUGGCUUAUAAAUAAAUAUAUCCAUCAAAUAAAUUAUCUAAUAAAAGUAAUGAAUAGAUAGAUUUUCUAAAAUAAUAGAUUAUCAAAUAAAAUAACAUUAAUUACAUGUAUAAAUAAAUAUAUUCAUUCAAUAAAAAUAAUUAAUCAAUAGAUUUUUUAAAAUAAUAGAUUAUCAAAUAAAAAAAUAUUUACAAUUAAAAAAAAAAAGGAAAAACACCUAAUUCACGAACAGUAUCCAUUCACUUAGCUCAUCUUCCAAUUCUCUCAAAGUAGGCCUUUCCUCCACUGCUCCGCCACUCUCCUCAUCAUCAACAGCUCCAGACACCGAAUCUCCCCCAUUUUCCGACGCCCUCCGCCACGGAAGAAGUUGGAGCAGGCGGGGAAGAACGCCUGCGCGGCCGCCGCGCAUGCAGCCGGGAAGCGCGUGGGUCCCAUCUACGUGGAGCUCGUAAACUAGCAACGGAAAACUCGUCUCCAAACAGCACCCCGAAAUCCUAGUUUCGUUUCCGCGGCGUAGAGAGCGACGGAUCACCUCGCCGAUGAACUGCUUGAUUUUCGAUUCCGGCACCAGCGUCGGAAUCUUCAUCACGACGGCCUCUCGAUUAUUCUCGAAGGUUCCGCGGCAGAAUUUCCCGUCCGUCUCACUGUAAUUGUUGGUGGCGAUCUCCAUUUCCUGAGCUGUGUAUAUUUUGAGUUGCGCAGAUCUCGAUCUCUUGCGAUUGGAUAGCUUCUUCUUCAGUAUGUUUCCGCCAUUCCUGUCGAACAAGCUCAUUCUGUUGUGCUCGAGCUUCCGUCUCCGAUGCGUCCAAACGAUCCAAGUGCUCGCGAAGAGGGGCGCUAGCACGAACACCCCCAAUAAGUAGGGGAUUUUGGAGUCGAUGAUGCAGAUUCCAUGGCAGCUCCGCAAGGCGACCGAGGUUGUUUUGGUGACGGAGGAAGAGAGGGUGAGAGAGAAAAACAUCAACUUGAAAGGAACGGAAUUGUGGAGACAGAUUUUCAGAAGAAUCUUCAAAGGGGUGGUGGUUGGACAAGAUAGGAGACAAGAGUUUAAAAGUGCAAACAUAGUAUAUGAAAAAAAAAGAGGGUUAAUAUGUAAAAACAUAUAUAUACAAAAAAAAGGGGGUUAAUAUGCAAAAACAUCCUAACGUUAUAUAUCACUCUAACUAUACUUAAGUCCCUAAUCUAACGUUGAUAGCAACUAACACCCCAAAGUUCAUUAAGUACUACAAUUAAACCCAUAACAAAAUUUCUUGUUAUUUGAUACUAGUAUCUGACCAUAAUCUAGUCAAAUAUAAAAGAAAAUAAAAUUAAAUAAGUUGGCGAAUACUUAGUAAUUAAGGAAAAAGAAAAAAAUGGUGUAGGCACUCUUUUGGAAAUUGGAAUUGGAACCAGCAAUUUUGCUAUCUUUCUUUUUUCUUUGUUUUCGUCUGAUGUUCUUCUUCUUCUUCUUCUUCUUCUUCUUCUUCUUCUUCUCUUUUUUAUUUGUUUUUUUAUUUGUUUUUUUUAAUACUGUUUUUUCUUAUCUUUCUUUAUAUACUAGUGUGUAACUCGUCGAAAUUCGACGAGAAACCAUUGCACAUCAUAAUUAUUAUUGUAUAUUAUUUAUAGUUAUUGUAUAUGAAAUGAUCUUUAUAUAUAUAAAUUAUUUUUUAAUUAAUUUUGUUUCAUCAAAAUAAAUUGUGUAGAUUGCCUUUACAUGUAAGUUUUUAUUUGAUAAAAUUUCACAAAAAAUUGAUGUGAUGUUGAAGAUUUUAGAAAAAAAAGAUUUAGGUAUAUUUGAAAUAGGAUAUAAUGAAGAAUUGAUAGAUUGUACUUUUUGUUAAUAGUAUGUAGAAAAGAUUUACCUUCAACCAAUCUCACUCGAUAAUCUUUAGGUUUUCUCCCAACAAAAAAAAAAAAAGAAAGACAUGCAAAUUAAACCUAACAAAAUAUUACUACUUCCAUUUUCCCAUAUUUGGCCUAUAUUUUUAAGGUCAAUGAAAGUGGGCUAUAAUUUGUCUCCAAACAGCAGCCCGCAAUCCUAAUUACAUUUCCGCCGCGUAGAGUGCGACGGAUCACCUCGUCGAUGAACUGCUUGAUUUUCAAUUCCGGCACCAGUGACGUACGGAAUCUUCAUCACGACGGCCUCUCGAUUAUUCUCGAAGGUUCCGCUGUAGAAUUUCCCCGGCUCUCUGUAAUUGUUAGUGGCGAUCUUCAUUUAGGAGAGAUGCGGCCGGCUGUUUAGGUUUUAAAUUAUACUACUAGAAUCCAAUUUUUUACUUUUUAUUCAUAUUCAUUUUAUUUCCUUCUUAUCUUUUUUUUAUAUUUUUUUAUUUUUAUGUCCAAAUCAAAAGUUGCCUCCAAGAUGAUGAAUUUUUUGAUAAUUAACCAUUUUUUAUACUACUAUUUUAUUGCAAUUUUUGCUGGAUGAGUUUGUUGAUCAGAUGUUGCUGGCUUUCUCAUUGAUCUUGUUAUUGUUAUAUAGUAAUGCUCUAAGCGUGUAAUUAAAUAACCAAUAAUUGCACCUAAUCUUUUCUUAUAGCUACGUGGAUUCAGCAUCAUAUGUUUCUGAUUUCUUUGCUUCAAUUCUAGAUUUUAAUAUAUUUGUGAUAUUUUUUUUUUGGUAAUUGAUGUAUAAAUACAUAAAUUUUAGUCAUUUUUUGGUAUUUAACAUGAAUUUUAAAAUCUAGUUAUAAAUGCAUGAAAUUUAAAUUUAUUUAAUUUUUGACCCAUUUUUUAUAUCUGAUAAAAUUAAUGCUGAUAUGUCAAAAUUAGAACUUAGUUAGCAAAUUAAUUCUCUAGCUAGCAUCUGACUAAGAAAUUUCUUCUCCUCCAUUCAAUUUAUACAAAAAAAACCCUUUCACUUUUACAAAAUAUAAUAUAAAGAGUAAUUUUUUAUUUGUGUGGACUGAGGUGUUGUCCUCGUCGGUUUUUGANAAUUCUCUAGCUAGCAUCUGACUAAGAAAUUUCUUCUCCUCCAUUCAAUUUAUACAAAAAAAACCCUUUCACUUUUACAAAAUAUAAUAUAAAGAGUAAUUUUUUAUUUGUGUGGACUGAGGUGUUGUCCUCGUCGGUUUUUGAAAGCAAGGGCGGUGGCGAACCACCAUUCGAGGCCCCUGGAUCUGAUGUUUUUUUUGUAAAGGGGUUUUUUUUGCAUAAAUUGAAUGGAGAAGAGGAAAUUUAUUAGUCAGAUGCCAGCUAGAGAAUUAAUUUUGCCAACUAAAUUCUAAUUUUGACAUGUCAAUAUUAAUUUCAUCAGAUAUAAAUAUCGGGUCAAAAAUUAAAUAAGUUUAAAAUUCAUGUAUCUAUAACCAGAUUUUAAAGUUUAUGUUAUAUACCAAAAAGUGAGUAAAAUUUAUGUAUUUAUACGCUAAAUACUUUUUUUUUUCAAGAAAGAAAGAUAAUUAGCUAUUCAACGCCGGAGGAAAACAUGUAAUUUGGUGUUGCAUUCACACAAAGUAAAUUUCCAAGAACUUUCCUACCAGAGAACUCAAAUAUUUCAAGAAGGGCUCCUCUAAACUGUCACCCAAAAUUUAUUCCCACAUUAGUAGAGGAGGGAAUUGGAAAAUACGCAAUUCAUAGAAACUAAAUUGCAUGGAGGAUUAGGCCAUAUAUAUAUGCACUUGCAGGAAAACAACAUGAAAUUUCCAUUUCUUUUCAACUGGUAGAAAACCACCAUGAAAUUUUCAUCUCAACGGACAACGCGUAUUCAAUUUUACAUUUUUUUUUCUUUUCCUCUAAUAAAAAGAAAUUAAAAUAGGAUGAAAUAUAACUAUAAAUAUACAAUCGAAGAAAUUAAUCAAAACAAUGAUAUGGCUACGUUGUGAUCAAUUUAUUUUCAGUUGGAUUCUUGCUCCCAAAUUUGGAGCACCUUUGAAACUCUGUUUCAUUCUCAAUUGAAAGCUUCGAUCUUUGCAUCUUGUAAUGGGACGGAAGGAGUAACAAUUUAUUUUAAAAUAAAUAUUAAUUCAAUUAAGAAAUUAAGAAUCGUAGGAGAGAAAUGAUGGGACAAAGAGUUGGGACAUCUGAUUCUAAUUAGUUUCCUGAUGGCUAGGUUUAAUUAUUACUAUUAUUUUAUCAAAUUUUAAAAUAUGAAUUUUUAUAUAAAAGUAUAAUAGUACAUCUAUUAUUAUUUUUAAAUGAAAGGCUAAGUAAAAGAAUUACUAGUAACUAUGUUCAAAAUCACCCCACCGGAAACAAUUAGCAACCCUUUUGAUAUAUUCUUUUCUUUCUGGGCUAUUUCCCACUUCUUCUUUUUUUUUUUGUUAAUAAUUAGAUGGGCUCAAAAUAAUGAGGGCCGAACCUCAAGCCCAACAAUCUUAGACUUCCCAAAAAAACUUAGGUAUUAAAUUGAGCUUGAAUUUUUUAUUUAUUGAAUUUUCAAAGCUCACGAAUUUAUUUGAAACUUACUUUAGACUAAGAGAACUUUUUAGAUUUAAAUAUUAAUUACUUUUUAAAAUAAUAUUUUAGAAAAGCAUACUCGCUUCUCACAAAAACAUGAACAUUUCAAUUUUUGUACAUUACCUCAUUAUCUUUUAUCCCUCAUUUUCACAAAAAAUCAUCAUGACUAUUGGCUCACCACUACUUUUCCUCACUUAAGAGCACCCACAAUGGAUGACUCGAUCGUCGCCACUCGAAUCACCCAUAGAUCAGGUCUCCCACUGCAGCGGUCAUGGACUCGAGACUGACCUGAUUUAUCGGGUGAGGCCAGGGAAAAAAAAAAUCUCAAAAAACAUACCUGAACUCGGCGAGAAGUGAAGAUGAAGAAGAUGAAGUGCAAAACAUGAUCACGGCUUUUAUUUAGAUUUAAUUUUAGGGCUUUUAUUUAGCUGACUUUGGCCUUUUAAUUUUAGGUCUUUAAAUUUUUUUCAAUUUUAAAUCUAUAUUUAAAUUUUAGUAAUUAGUAUUAAUGUAAUUUUCAUUUGAAGUAAAUUGUGUUAUUUAAAUUUAAAUGAAAAAUACAAAAAUUAAAACUAAAAAAAUCAAGUCAGGUAUCAAGUCCCCAGUGGAUGCUCUAACAUGAGCUCUUCUUUAGAAUAUUGAUAAUUAGAAUUUUUAAAUUCUAUUUGUAAUUGAUUAAGUAAUUUUCCCUCUGUCCAAUUAAUUAAUUAAACGCUUAGAGCAUUACUAUAUAACAAUAACAAGAUCAAUGAGAAAGCCUCCAUCAAAAAGAAACAUCUCAACAAACUCAUCCAGCAAAAAAUGCAAUAAAAUUGUUUUAAAAAUGGUUAAUUAUCCAAAAAUUCAUCAUCUUUGAGACAACUUUGGAUUUGGACAUUAGAUUUAAUACCUUCCAAUAAUAAAUACAAACAAAAACAAGAAAGCCAAUAUUCAUAUAGUUUUAUUUAUUAAGAAAAACAUGCAAGCUAAAACACACAUGUUUACAUUUGCAGAUAAGAGUAACCAUUUCUUCAAAGAAAGCAUAGAAACAACUGUGUGAAAGAAGGUUAGUAUGAGAAGCACAGCAGCUGAUACUUCAAGUAAUUCCUCCUCAUUCUUGCCAUCCAUCUCCCACGUCGAAGCCGUUUACAUCUGUUCAAACUCUCAAACACAUUCGAGUAGCAAAAAUCCAAUGAUGAAACCACAACAUUCUUCCCCAAUCUGUUGAACAUGCUGCAGAUCAUCUCAUCACUGCCUAUGAAGUUGCUGAUGACCCCGCUUCGUCGUAGUAUCUCAACAUCUUUGGUGGAUCUGAUGAAACAAUGUAUGAAAAACAAGUAAUCUGUCACAUACCUCGGAUGAUCAUCAGGGAAGAAGCAGAGCUCGUACGCGAUCAAGUUCCUCAACAUGGACUCUAGUUUUAUCUGAUAUGCAUUAAUGGUGGGAGUUUUAUGACUCCUUUGGCAAAACUGAUAUCCCUUAGACUCAUCCCUUUCGACCCUUUUAGCCUAAUCCCGGCCUCCUCCAUCUCCGAGGCAGAGCACGUGUGGUGCACCGUGUUGCAACCGUUGUUUUCAGUGAAGCACUUGGCUGAGAAUGAGAAUGAGAUGAAAGAAUCAUACACUAGGCCUAAUAGAUGCUCAGCACUGUGCAACAUAUCUGAACUCGAGUUGAGCAUUGAGGAAUCCGGCCAUGGGAACACGUCUCCGGCUAGAAAGAGGAGGAGAUGGUGUAUGUUAUCGUCUGGAUGUUCCAUCCUUGUCAUGUCGAAAAGCUCAUUCAACACGAAGAAAGGGAGCUGGUUCUCCAACAACAGAAGAUCAUGCCUUAUUUGGACUAACAUGUGAUUAAAUUGAAAUAUUUGAUCACUCAUGUCUCUCAAAUCACUAAACCAAUAGCUUCUCAGCAGCUCAAUCACGAAGCAUCCAUCAAGAAGCAACAUCUCCACAAACUCAUCUUGAUCAAGACUGAUUGUUUUCGCGUAGUAGAGGCGAGCCUUUUCCUCCAUUCUCCUCACUUCCAACACACAUUUCUCAACACUCAACUCAGCCCUUCUUCCUAAUGUUUUUCUUAGAUACCUCAGCUUGUGCUGCUCCAUGGCCUUAACGCGAUCUUUCCCACGAUGGAUUGGGCCUAUAGAGACUAAUUCGGGUUCAAAAUCCUUUUCAUUUACUUGCCUUAGGUGUUGAUAUACUUUGGCUAUGAUAGGCUUUGAGGGAGUGAGAGAAGUAGACAAUUGAUGAAGCAAGUUUUCAAUCUUAACAACAACACUGUCUCUCUCCUCUGUCAUCUUCAAGAAUUAAGCCAAGAAACCAGAAAUUAUAUAUGCUACAGAAGAAGAAAACACCAUAAAAAUAUUAAACAUGUAGCAAUCUACAUAGGUUCAUUUGUUAUUGAAACUUACAAGAUUAACAAAAUGUCGAGCAUACUUACUAGAUUAGGAGUAGGGAAUUUGAGUAGCUGAAACACGAAGCCAAAGCGUUGAUAUUGUACGUUGCUGCAGCUGAUUUCUUCUUGUUACAUUUCUUGUAAGAGAACUUUCAUCCCCUCUUAAUAUGCAUUAUUGGAGUAGUUUACAAAGCGAAUCUUGUGGCGGAAAUUAAGUCAAUUUCCAAGAACUUUACUUUAGAUAAAGAAAUUAAUGCUUAAGAAAUUUCAUGUGAAAUUUCGUGAAUGUGGGUUCGGUCAACGAAAUUGACGCCGACUGUGUGUCUUCACAAUUUUGCACUUUGGUCAACGAAAGUUGCAGGGAAAAUCAAAAUGAAAACAACAAGGGAAAAAUAUUUUUUUUAAAAACAUAAAUUAUAAAUAAAAUUAAAAUAUAAAUAUAUUCGGUUAAAUCGAUCAAUUCGGUCCGGUUCGACGGUUUUGAUUGCAAGUAGGGCUGGUUUCGCCUGAAUCGGCGGUUCACGGUUCACUGGAACCAGUCUGCCUGAGUAUAGAGGUUCAGGGUCCGGUUUGAACAAUCGAUUUUCGGGCCGAACCGGUUAUUUUUUUUUAAUAUUAAAUUUGAAUUUGAGUAUUGUGUAUAUUUUCACUCCAGGAUCAUCUAUUAGGCCUAAUUUAUCAAUGUUUCACUCCAUUUUCAACUCAGGGUGCGUUCUGUUUGUUUGUAAAUUUAUCAUGAGAAAAUGAAGGAUAAACAAAAUUUCACCCUUUAAAUCUUUCCUUUCUUUUUCCACAUAAACUCUGCCUCAGGCCGGCAUUCGCCUCAAACGGUCUAAACAAAACCUCCUCACUUUCAAAGCCAGAGUCCUCAAAUUCCCACCUCUGCAAGUCUCAGGCAAGACAGAGUCCCUUCUGAGGAACUUGAUGGCCUACGAGCAGCUCUGCCUCGAUGAUGAUCAUCCAAAACACGUGACAGACUACGCGUUCUUCAUGCAUUGCCUCAUCAGAUCAACGAAAGACAUUGAGAUACUGCGACGCAGUGGGAUCAUUAGUAACUACCCUACCUAGGAGGCGACGACAACAUCUGCCUAAUGUUUAACAGAUUGGGGACAAACUUUCUCAUCAGAUCAUCAGAUUUUUGCUACUCUGAUGUCUUUGUGAGCUUGAACAGGCAUUGUGGCCGCCGGCACAAGAAAUGGAUGGCGAAAUUGAGGCGAAACUACUUCAAUAGUCCGUGGUCCGUGAUCAAGUUCGUUGCUGCUGCAGUGCUGCUGCUGCUCACCUUAACACAAACUGUUUUUGCUAUACUUGCUUAUGAGCAGAGGAAUGAUGUGAUGAGAGUGCGUUUGAUUUCAAUGUGAUUCAACUAUGUAUGUAUGUAGGGAGAAAAUCAUUUGUAAUCUUAUCAACUGUUUAUCUAAUGUAAAAGAUUUGAGUAAAAAAUCACUUCAAAAAUUUGUUUUCCUUCAAAAAUUUCGUAGUAAAUUACCUUGGAAUUUUAGCUAGCAGUAAAAAUAAAAAAUAAAGUGGAAAAAAAGAAUCAUAAACUUCAACUGAUAGGCCUAGUUUAUGAUUCUUUCUUCUCAUUCUCAUUCACUGCAAACAACGGUAGCAACACAGUGCACCACACGUGCUCUGCCUCGGAGAUGGAGGAGGCCGGGAUUAGGCUACACGGGUCGAGAGGAAUCACUCUAAGGGAUAUCAGUUUUGCCAAUGGAGCCAUAAAACUCCCACCAUUAUGCUUAUCAGAUAAAACUGAGUCCAUGUUGAGGAACUUGAUCGUGUACGAGCUCUGCUUCUUCCCUGAUGAUCAUCCGAGGUAUGUGAAAGAUUACUUGUUUUUCAUUCAUUGUUUCAUCAGAUCCACCAAAGAUGUUGAGAUACUACGACGAAGUGGGAUCAUCAGCAACUUCCUAGGCAGUGAUGAGAUGAUCUGCAGCAUGUUCAACAGAUUGGGGAAGAAUGUUGUGGUUUCAUCAUCAGAUUUUUGCUAUUCAAAUGUGUUUGAGAGUUUGAACAGAUGCAAACGGCUUCGACGUGGGAGAUGGAUGGCAAGAGUGAGGAGGAAUUACUUGAAGAUAUCAGUUGCUGUGCUUCUCAUACUAGCAUUUUUUCACACAGUUGUUUGCUCUUACAAGAAAUGGUUACUCUUAUCUGCAAACAUGUUGUGUGUGUUUAGCUUGCAUGUAUAUCUUAAUCUUAAUAAAUAAUGAAUAUUGGCUUUCUUGAUUUUGUUUGUANNNNNNNNNNNNNNNNNNNNNNNNNNNNNNNNNNNNNNNNNNNNNNNNNNNNNNNNNNNNNNNNNNNNNNNNNNNNNNNNNNNNNNNNNNNNNNNNNNNNNNNNNNNNNNNNNNNNNNNNNNNNNNNNNNNNNNNNNNNNNNNNNNNNNNNNNNNNNNNNNNNNNNNNNNNNNNNNNNNNNNNNNNNNNNNNNNNNNNNNNNNNNNNNNNNNNNNNNNNNNNNNNNNNNNNNNNNNNNNNNNNNNNNNNNNNNNNNNNNNUCUGUCAAACAUGAGGCAGAUGUUGUCGUCCCUCCUAGGAAGUUACUAAUGAUCCCACUGCGUCGCAGUACCUCAAUGUCUUCCGUUGAUCUGAUGAGGCAGUUCAUGAAGAACACGUAGUCUGUCACGUGUUUGGGGUGAUCAUCAUCGAGGCAGUGCUGCUCGUAGGCCAUCAAGUUCCUCAGCAGGGACUCUGUCUUGCCUGAGACUUGCAGGGGUGGGAAUUUGAGGACUCCGGCCUUGAAAGUGAGGAGGUUUUUUUCAGACCGUUUGAGGCGAAUGCCGGCCUCGUUCAGCUCCGAGGCAGAGUUUAUGUGGGCUAAUGAGUUCCUAUGUUCACCUAUGUAAAGAGUUUGAGUUGAAAAUGGAGUUGAAAACAGAGAUGCUCUGUUUUGAUCAUGUUGAAGAGGUGGUUCAAGAAGGAGAAAGGGAGCUGGUUCUCAACAGCAUCAGGUCAUGUGUGAUCUGGCUGAGUGUCGUGGGCUCGAAGACGGGGUCUUUCUCUGUCGAGGCGUCGGAGACCUGCAUGUGCCUUCUCACGAGCUCGAUGAGGAAGCAGCCAUCAAGAAGCAGCAUUCUCACAAACUCAUCUGCAUCGACAUUUAGAGGUGUUGAGUAGCAUUGGAGGGCCAUCUCUGUUUUUUCACUCACUUUUUGGACCAGUUUUGCUAUGGUGAGAUCAUCUCUUCUCUGCAGAAGUUGCUGCAGAUACCUCAGCUUGUGCUGCUCCAUCCCCUUCAGAUGAGGUUUCCCUCGAUGGAUGGGGCCGAUAGCCACGAUCUUCGGUUCAUAAUCCUUUUCAUUCACUUGGCGCAACCGAUCAUCCACUUCAAAUAUUUUGGGUUGAAUAGUGUUGUUCAAAUUCUCAAUCAAACCUUGGAUGUUGCAAGUCACACUGUCUUCUCCAUUUGACAUCUGUGAGAACUCAGCCAAGAAAGAUGCCAAAGUUUCAAUGCCAGCAACUUUGAUAUAUAGAUGAGAAUUAAACCUGCAAGACGCGAUUAUUUGGACAAAAGCAUAGUCACAAUUUGAUCAAGAUUCAAGAUGGAGGGGAAAGACUCAAUGGUGUUUGCUGUUUCUAUACAUUCUUCGUGUGGAUCUAGAUUUAUAGAUAACAUCAGCUUAAGGCUAGGUGAAGAGCUAAACAACUUAACCAGAGUUUGAGAUUUUGAGUCCGAAACUACCAAGAAGUUUCUAUGCACGAGAAAUGUAAUUUCCUAAAGUUUUGGUGUUUUGGUACAUAUCUCAGGUUUGAGAAGACUAAAAAGACAAUGCUUGCAAAUUCACUAGGAAAUUUCGCAUGAACUUUCUCAAGCAUGAAGUCUUUCUAAAGUAUAGUUCUUGGAAAUUGAUUUAAUUUCUGCACCGAACGCUCACUUUGUCAAUACAAUAAUGAAAAGAGGGCAAAAAAGUUCUUUAAAAAUAAAAUAACACGAAGAAAUCUGCAGCAGCCAGGGGCAGGCCCCCAAAUUUUUAACUUCUUUUAAAAUUUUAUAUAUUUACUGAAUACGCCAACAAUUGUACUGAAUAAAAUAACUUUAUUGAGGGGAAAGUUUCACGAAGAAAUCAGCUGCAGCAACUUUUCUCGUCUAAGGAGCAACGCUUUGGCUUCAAGUUUCAGCUACUCAAAUUUUGUUUAUCUUGUAAGUUUCAAUAACAAAUGAACCUCUGUAGAUUGCUACAUGUUUAAUAUUUUUAUGGUGUUUUCUUCUUCUGUAGCAUAUAUAAUUUCUGGUUUCUUGGCUUAAUUCUUGAAGAUGACGAGGAGAGAGACUGUGUUGUUGUUAGAUUGAAAACUUGCUUCAUCAUUGUCUACUUCUUCACUCCCUCAAAGCCUAUCAUAGCUAAAGUAAUCAACACCUAAGGCAAGUAAAUGAAAAGGAUUUUGAACCCGAAUUAGUCUCUAUAGGCCCAAUCCAUCGUGGGAAAGAUCGCGUUAAGGCCAUGGAGCAGCACAAGCUGAGGUAUCUAAGAAAAACAUUAGGAAGAAGGGCUGAGUUGAGUGUUGA